UACGAAGGGGGCUAGCGUUGUUCGGAUUUACUGGGCGUAAAGCGCAUGUAGGCGGGCCUGCAAGAUGGGGGUGAAAUCCCGGGGCUCAACUCCGGAACUGCCUCCAAAACUGCAGGGCUGGAGGAUGUGAGAGGCGGGUGGAAUUCCGAGUGUAGAGGUGAAAUUCGUAGAUAUUCGGAAGAACACCGGUGGCGAAGGCGGCCAACUGGCUCAUUGCUGACGCUGAGGUGCGAAAGCGUGGGGAGCAAACAGG
rnacentral:rRNA from 1 species